rnacentral:rRNA from 1 species
CUGCCCAAUGACAACAUAGUUCAAUGGCCGCGGUACCCUGACCGUGCAAAGGUAGCAUAAUCACUUGCCCCUUAAUUAGGGGCUGGCAUGAAAGGACACACGAAAGCUUCCCUGUCUCACAAUAACAAAUAAAAAUUAAUCUUCAAGUGAAAAAGCUUGAAUAAAAUUGCAGGACAAGAAGACCCCGUUGAGCUUUAUUCUCUAUAGACUAAAUCAAAUAUUAAAUACAUCAUAAACCUAAAAAGAAUUUAGUUGGGGUGACUAAGGAACACCGAAAACUUCCUUUUAUUAAUUAGGAUCAUUCUCCAUACAAAUUGACCCAUUACACAUGAUCAAAAAAAUAAGCUACCACAGGGAUAACAGGCUAAUCUUUCUCAAGAGCCCAAAUUGUCAGAAAGGAUUGGCACCUCGAUGUUGGCUUAGGGGCCCCUAAUGGUGCAGAAGCCAUAAAUGGUAGGUUUGUUCAACCUUUAAAACCCUACGUGAUCUGAGUU